AAGAAUUUAGUUUAGUUUAAAAUGUUAGAUUGUAAAUCUAAAGAGAAUUAUUCUUG
rnacentral:tRNA from 1 species